AGUAUUUGUGAACGUAUUCACAGCAAACUUCUACAUUAUUCUUAUUUCUAAAGAUUACAAACUAGGGAUUGAACGGCGUCCAACGUUCGCGUGAGAAGUUUAUGGAGUGUAUAGUCAGAAAUCUUUAUGGAUUUCACAGUUGCAAGUAUUUUACGACGUUGCUCGCGCGACUAGUUCUGAAAUAGUAAAUCGUUUAAAAAUCCACGGUAAUAUAUUUAUUUCGUUUAUUUGCUGCUAUCUCUCUAGGUGUUGAAUUAUAAUUGGCUCUAAGAAGGACAAAACAGACACGGAAUAAAACAGAAUGGUACUCGGAGUCACCUUUACGACCAGCAAAAGUAACGAAAUUGCAUAACUUUAAGUGUACUAAGAAAAUGAGGCCACGAGAUUCUAAUAAGCGUAACUAUACAGCGGUGAAUGAUAAAACGUGCGCAUCUCUUGUCUUACGUGCCAUUGAAUACUCUAAAAUUUCUUCAAAUUUAAGCUAAGAUACAAAUUUGUAUUUUGUUAUUGUCUUAUUCAAUCGUAAAAUAAAAUUGUUAGAGGAUAAGAGUUAUCCGAUUAAUUUCAUCUUUGGAUAUGUAUACGUUCGAUUAAUUUUUCAAAUAACAAAUUUCUUAUUUAAAAAUAUUCUCCUAAAAUAGAAGUCUGUUUGUGAAAAUGAAUAAACUAUUAAAUUUUUAAAAAUGCAACAGAAAAUUCUAUGGAUUUGUAAGACUACCGGACAUUCUAAUCGAUAAACGCAUAUUGCGCGUUAUGAAUCUAACGACUUCUAACAUUUCUUGCGAAAAUAAUCAUUAACUUUUCGAUGGGUUUAUGUAAAAAAAAAAAAAGAAAAAGGGAACAACCCUCCGUUUUAUGGUAAGAGAUUAUUCUCAAAGAUACUGGCUGAAAAUACAUUAAAAGGCGCGCACGUCGGUGACGAGAUUAAAGGUAACCUUCUCAUCGAUUUUCAGUCUUCAAGGGUCAACGACGUAUUACGUGCAUAGAACUAAUACAAGUGAAUUUCGCAAAAUAUUUCUCCAAAAAGAUUAUACCAAGAAGUAAAAGAACGACUUGAAAAUUGAAAAAAAACAAGGACGAUAAAUCUUUAUUAUAACGAAGGACAUAGAAACGCCCACGCGAUGUGCUAGUAAGUAGAGCCAGUCGAUAUCAGAGAAGGUAAAACAGGAGAGAAAGAGAGAGAGAGAGAGAGAGAGAGAGAGAGAGAGAGAGAGAGAGAGAGAGAAAGAGAGAGAGAGAGAAAGAGAGAGAGAGAGA